AAACCAUCCUCUUUGCUUCCUUUGUGAUGGACACUCCUUAGCUUCUGCGCCUUAAUAAGGUAGGGUUUGUUCAUUCAGUCUUUCCAAAGAUAAGUGUUGGAAAAUUUAGAGUUAAUAAAUCAGUGGAUAAAAAUUCAAUGACUAUUUCAAGAAAAUAAUAGAAGAAAUAUAUCGCCACCAUUCAAUGUUUGUGCAACCAGUGUUUAUUGAGUGCUUUUAAUGGUACCUAGAGAGUAAUACAGGUGGUCAAGCACAGUGGCUUAUACCUGUAAUCCAAGAACUUUGGGAGGCUGAGGUGGACAGAUUGCUUGAGCCCAGGAGAGUAAUACAGGCAUUAUUCCAGCUUUUACUGAGUGAAUAUUCUAGCAUUUGUACGUAAUUCUGUGCACAGGUAUUCAACAAGUAUUGAUUGUCUCCUAUGCAGUAGGGUAUAUGUGCUGUUUUAUGCACUGUGCUAGAUGCCAGGGCUACAGUGGAGGGCAAAACAGACAUGGCCGCUGCCCUUAGAGAGAAUGCAGUGGUAGAGCCAGACAUUAUUUCAAUAUUCAUACAAAUAAAUGUAUAAUUGCAAAUUGCGCUAAGAG
rnacentral:lncRNA from 1 species